UGUAAUUUAGUAUAAGAGGUACACAAGUUUUUGAUACUUGAAGAAAUGGUUUAAUUCUAUUAAUUGCAA
rnacentral:tRNA from 1 species